GCGCCCGUAGCUCAGCUGGAUAGAGUACCUGGCUACGAACCAGGCGGUCAGAGGUUCGAAUCCUCUCGGGCGCA
rfam:Nitrincola sp. A-D6 Contig11, whole genome shotgun sequence.